rnacentral:rRNA from 1 species
GACGAACGCUGGCGGCGUGCCUAAUACAUGCAAGUCGAGCGCAGGAAACUGACGGAACUCUUCGGAGGGAAGGCAGUGGAAUGAGCGGCGGACGGGUGAGUAACACGUAAGGAACCUGCCUCAAGGAUUGGGAUAACUCCGAGAAAUCGGAGCUAAUACCGGAUAGUUCAACGGACCGCAUGGUCCGCUGAUGAAAGGCGCUCCGGCGUCACCUUGAGAUGGCCUUGCGGUGCAUUAGCUAGUUGGUGGGGUAACGGCCCACCAAGGCGACGAUGCAUAGCCGACCUGAGAGGGUGAUCGGCCACACUGGGACUGAGACACGGCCCAGACUCCUACGGGAGGCAGCAGUAGGGAAUCUUCCACAAUGGACGAAAGUCUGACCCAGCCAUGCCGCGUGAAGGAUUAAGGUCCUCUGGAUUGUAAACUUCUUUUCUCUGGGGCGAAAACCAGCUAUUCUUAGCUAUUUGACAGUACCAGAGGAAUAAGCACCGGCUAACUCCGUGCCAGCCGCCGCUGUAA